GCUUGCGGAGAGAUCUUUAUGUGUUUGUUCUUUCAUAAAGAACACCCUAGAUAAACUUUGUGGACAAAGCGGUCAUGUUAAAUACCGUGUGUUCAUGUGUAUAUUUAAUAACUGUUGUUUUUUUGUAGUUUUUAUGAAUAGCAUGCUAAAGAACUUUUCGGUUUACAAGAUAAAUAUAUUACCUACAGCAAACUUUUAUAUUAUUUUCGUUCUUAUACUCUGGAGCUUACACUUUAUGUUCAGAAUGAUUAGAUCUACGCAUGUGUUUGAACGUGAUUGGAUAACUGGACUGAAAUGAAUUAACCUAGGUUUGAUAGAGUACUGCAAUGCGUUCCUGUGUACCUUCAAUGUGUGAGAAUUAGUCCCAAUCCCUAUUGGUUUGUUUGUUAUUAUUCCAAUAAACAAUCUAUUUUUACAACAUUUGAUUUUUGGCUUCUAUAAACAUAAAAAUCUCUCUUGAACUACGAACAUGUCUUGCAUAACAGUGUCAGUACCUUUAAAAUGCAAGUUGUAUAAAUGUCAUGACGAAAAACUUUUGAAAUACUGCCUCACCACCACAAACAUUAGGAGUAGCAUGUUGUCUUUUUGAAUUGACAAACUCCUCAGAUUGACGUUAGACAUGGACGUAAUACUAACAUUUCGCCGCGUUUGGAGGACUUGGUUUAUUGUUUUAUUGUUAGUUUCUACGGCACUAUGUUUGUGUAGGAGUGUUGGCUGGGUAGGCUGUGUGGACUUUGGGUGUAGCCGCAAGGAAGGUGGACGUUGUGGGAACUUUGGAAGGAGACCUGAUAAUAACUGCGUCUGUGUUUUAGGCCACUGAUGAAGUGGAAUAUAGGGAUUUUAGAUAAUUAAUUGCCAGAUGAUAACUAAUAUUGCCGGAUUCGUUAUUUCAAACAAAUUUUGAGAUUAGACACUGGCAGUUCGAAAAGAGAAGGAAAGGAUUUGAAGAAAAUAAAUGUUGGAAUGUGUUACUGACAUAUUACAGGCAAGUCGGAAUAUUUUGUGUGUGACGGAUUCAAGGAUGUGCCAUUUGCUGUUCAUACUAUUAUAUUGGAUGAAACGGGUUUUAUUUUAUAUUAAAAUGUGUACGUACAUUCUUACGUUUAUUAGAGUGAAUGAAUGUCUUUACAUCACAUCAUACCAGGCUAAAACUCGUACGAGAAGACAGUUUACAAAGGUCAGGUCAUAUCAUACCAGGCUAAAACCCGUACGAGAAGACAGUUUACAAAGGUCAGGUCAGGUCACAUCAUACCAGGCUAAAACUCGUACGAGAAGACAGUUUACAAAGGUCAGGUCAUAUCAUACCAGGCUAAAACCCGUACGAGAAGACAGUUUAGAUAGGUCAGGUCACUGGGAUAAUUGCAAUAAAACCAACAUACAUCUUAA